rnacentral:lncRNA from 1 species
AAAAGAAAAUAGCAACCACCUGAAAGAUGACCAUAACAAGCCCAAGCCACGUAGCGAGUAGGAAGUGGAAAGUUUGCCUCUCAUCUGUGGUGCAUACCACAAGGAUGGUUGCUGUUUCAUUAGAGCCAAAAGAAAGACCAACCAAAUCCUUCCGAGAUUUCACGGCGACCACUACUGCAGGGAGAUCGCUUGGUGGGUUCGGUGAUAAUGCAUCUGCAGAACUGACCCUUCAGAGCAGUGUGGGAAACUGUCAUACAAGUGUAAAGAGGACCACCCACCUACCACUGGGCCCUUUGAGUAUGGUCAACCCCAUGAGGUGUAAAUGUAAGACCACAGGAGAAAAUAGGCUUCUAUGUCAGAUUACAUAUUCCUUCUCAGCUCCAGCAGGGCCAUUAGCAGCUGAGAGAAGACAGGAGGUCACCAAAUCACAGUGCUAGGUGGUC